rnacentral:rRNA from 1 species
UACGGAGGUUCCUAGCGUUGUUCGGAAUUACUGGGCGUAAAGGGAGCGCAGGCGGACAGGUCAGUUUAAAGUGGAAUCCCAGGGCUCAACCCUGGACGUGCUUUGGAUACUGCCUGUCUUGAGUUCGUGAGAGGAAAGUGGAAUUCAGGGUGUAGCGGUGAAAUGCUUAGAUAUCCUGAGGAACACCAGUGGCGAAAGCGACUUUCUGGCACGAAACUGACGCUGAGGCUCGAAAGCAUGGGUAGCGAACGGG